CCUACGGGAGGCAGCAGUGAGGAAUAUUGGUCAAUGGGCGCGAGCCUGAACCAGCCAAGUAGCGUGAAGGAUGACUGCCCUACGGGUUGUAAACUUCUUUUAUAAAGGAAUAAAGUGAGGCACGUGUGCCUUUUUGUAUGUACUUUAUGAAUAAGGAUCGGCUAACUCCGUGCCAGCAGCCGCGGUAAUACGGAGGAUCCGAGCGUUAUCCGGAUUUAUUGGGUUUAAAGGGAGCGUAGAUGGGUUGUUAAGUCAGUUGUGAAAGUUUGCGGCUCAACCGUAAAAUUGCAAUUGAAACUGGCUGCCGUGAGGACAGUUGAGGUAGGCGGAAUUAGUGGUGUAGCGGUGAAAUGAUUAGACAUCACGAAGAACUCCGAUUGCGUAGGCAGAUUACUAA
rnacentral:rRNA from 1 species